rnacentral:rRNA from 1 species
AACGAACGCUGGCGGCGUGCCUAACACAUGCAAGUCGGACGCGAAAGGGGGCAACCCCCGGUAGCGUGGCAGACGGGUGAGUAACACGUGGGCAAUCUGCCCCGAGGUGGGGAAUAACUUUCCGAAAGGAAGGCUAAUACCGCAUGACAUCGCGAGGUCCUCGGGCCUUGCGAUCAAAGCUGGCCUCUGUUUACAAGCUAGCGCCACGGGAGGAGCCCGCGCCCCAUUAGCUAGUUGGUGAGGUAACGGCUCACCAAGGCGACGAUGGGUAGCCGGCCUGAGAGGGUGAUCGGCCACACUGGAACUGAGACACGGUCCAGACUCCUACGGGAGGCAG